GAGCGCCGUAGCAAUACGGAGCGGCAGACGGGAGAGUAACACGUGGGAACGUGCCCUUCAGUUCGGAACAACCCAGGGAAACUUGGGCUAAUACCGGAUACGUCCGUAAGGAGAAAGAUUUAUCGCUGAAGGAUCGGCCCGCGUCUGAUUAGCUUGUUGGUGGGGUAACGGCCUACCAAGCCUUUGAUCCGUAGCUGGUCUGAGAGGAUGAUCAGCCACACUGGGACUGAGACACGGCCCAGACUCCUACGGGAGGCAGCAGUGGGGAAUAUUGGACAAUGGGGGCAACCCUGAUCCAGCCAUGCCGCGUGAAUGAUGAAGGCCUUCGGGUUGUAAAGUUCUUUUGGUGGGGACGAUGAUGACGGUACCCACAGAAUAAGCUCCGGCUAACUUCGUG
rnacentral:rRNA from 1 species